rnacentral:rRNA from 1 species
GACGAACGCUGGCGGCGUGCUUAACACAUGCAAGUCGAACGGAAAGGCCCUGCUUUUGUGGGGUGCUCGAGUGGCGAACGGGUGAGUAACACGUGAGUAACCUGCCCUUGACUUUGGGAUAACUUCAGGAAACUGGGGCUAAUACCGGAUAGGAGCUCCUGCUGCAUGGUGGGGGUUGGAAAGCUUCGGCGGUUGGGGAUGGACUCGCGGCUUAUCAGCUUGUUGGUGGGGUAGUGGCUUACCAAGGCUUUGACGGGUAGCCGGCCUGAGAGGGUGACCGGCCACAUUGGGACUGAGGUACGGCCCAGACUCCUACGGGAGGCAGCGGUGGAGAAUAUUGCACAGUGGGCGGAAGCCUGAUGCAGCAGCGCCGCGUGCGGGAUGACGGCCUUCGGGUUGUAAACCGCUUUCGCCUGUGACGAAGCGUGAGUGACGGUAAUGGGUAAGGAAGCACCGGCUAACUACGUG